UACGUAGGGCGCAAGCGUUUGUCCGGAAUUAUUGGGCGUAAAGAGCUCGUAGGCGGUUUGUCGCGUCUGUCGUGAAAGCUUGGGGCUUAACCCCAAGUCUGCGGUGGAUACGGGCAGACUAGAGGCAGGUAGGGGAGAACGGAAUUCCCGGUGUAGCGGUGAAAUGCGCAGAUAUCGGGAGGAACACCGGUGGCGAAGGCGGUUCUCUGGGCCUGUACUGACGCUGAGGAGCGAAAGCGUGGGGAGCGAACAGG
rnacentral:rRNA from 1 species